CCGGCGAUGCGUCCUGGUCGG
rnacentral:siRNA from 1 species